rnacentral:rRNA from 1 species
CAUCCUACGGGGCGCAGCAGUGAGGAAUAUUGGUCAAUGGGCUAAGGCCUGAACCAGCCAAGUCGCGUGAGGGAAGACGGUCCUAUGGAUUGUAAACCUCUUUUGUCGGGGAGCAACGAGGCCACGUGUGGCCGAAGUGAGAGUACCCGAAGAAAAAGCAUCGGCUAACUCCGUGCCAGCAGCCGCGGUAAUACGUAGGGAGCAAGCGUUAUCCGGAUUUAUUGGGUGUAAAGGGUGCGUAGACGGGAAAUUAAGUUAGUUGUGAAAUCCCUCGGCUUAACUGAGGAACUGCAACUAAAACUGAU